rnacentral:rRNA from 1 species
GUAUACAUCCACAUACCACGUUGAAUACACCGGUUCUCGUCAGAUCACCGAAUUUAAGCAACGUUGGGCGCGGUCAGUACUUGGAUGGGUGACCGCCUGGAAACAUCGCGUGAUGUUGGCU